GACGAACGCUGGCGGCGCGCUUAACACAUGCAAGUCGUGCGGUGUCGAAGGCAAGUCUUACGACAAGCCUUCGACACAGCGGCGAACGGGUGAGUAACACGUGAGCAAUCUGCCCCUGACUCUGGGAUAAGCGCUGGAAACGGCGUCUAAUACUGGAUACGAGCUGCGAAGGCAUCUUCAGCAGCUGGAAAGAACUUCGGUCAGGGAUGAGCUCGCGGCCUAUCAGCUAGUUGGUGAGGUAAUGGCUCACCAAGGCGACGACGGGUAGCCGGCCUGAGAGGGCGACCGGCCAACGACUGGGACUGAGACACGGCCCAGACUCCUACGGGAGGCAGCAGUGGGGAAUAUUGCACAAUGGGCGAAAGCCUGAUGCAGCGACGCCGCGUGAGGGAUGACGGCCUCGGUUGUAACGUCUUCUGCAGGAGAAGACGCAAGUGACGGUACCGUCGCAGAAGAAGACACCGGCCGUAACUAACGUACG
rnacentral:rRNA from 1 species